rnacentral:rRNA from 1 species
UACAGAGGUCUCAAGCGUUGUUCGGAUUCAUUGGGCGUAAAGGGUGUGCAGGUGGCGCCGUAAGUCGGGUGUGAAAUUUCGGAGCUUAACUCUGAAACUGCAUUCGAUACUGCGGUGCUUGAGGACUGGAGAGGAGACUGGAAUUCAUGGUGUAGCAGUGAAAUGCGUAGAGAUCAUGAGGAAGACCAGUGGCGAAGGCGGGUCUCUGGACAGUUCCUGACACUGAGACACGAAGGCCAGGGGAGCAAACGGG